rnacentral:rRNA from 1 species
GACGAACGCUGGCGGCGUGCCUAAUACAUGCAAGUUGAGCGCUGAAGGUUGGUACUUGUGCCAACUGGAUGAGCAGCGAACGGGUGAGUAACGCGUGGGGAAUCUGCCUUUGAGCGGGGGACAACAUUUGGAAACGAAUGCUAAUACCGCAUAAAAACUUUAAACACAAGUUUUAAGUUUGAAAGAUGCAAUUGCAUCACUCAAAGAUGAUCUCGCGUUGUAUUAGAUAGUUGGUGAGGUAAAGGCUCACCAAGGCGAGGAUACAUAGCCGACCUGAGAGGGUGAUCGGCCGCCUUGGGACUGAGACACGGCCCAAACUCCUACGGGAGGCAGCAGUAGGGAAUCUUCGGGAAUGGACGAAAGUCUGACCGAGCAACGCCGCGUGAGUGAAGAAGGUUUUCGGAUCGUAAAACUCUGUUGGUAGAGAAGAACGUUGGUGAGAGUGGAACGCUCAUCAAGUGACGGUAACUACCCAGAAAGGGACGGCUAACUACGUG